ensembl:lncRNA
GUGACAUGCGUACAUAGGCUACGACUCUUCAGUAUUGCCAGCUCGAGAGGUUUUCAUGACAGCGUGCGUAAAAUGGGUUUAGGCGAGUGGAUUUAUAGAAAUGGUUGAAUAGCAAAAAUAUAAAUUGUGCGGGUUUUUAGAGGAGUCUGCAGGACUGUGGUUGUAUUUUCAAUCAAAUCUUGCAACCCAUCUACUUCCAAGCGUAAUUUUCAAAAUGAAGCGGCAGAAUGUCAGAGCAAACCGUGCGAAGAAAUCGAGAUCACAACGAAGUACGAGCUAUAAUAUAAAGAAAAACGAAAUCCAAUGUAUUUUAAAGACACAAUUAUGCGUUCGGUUUAUUGUCGUCAUAACGGACAAUAUAAAAUAUGUGCGGAGGAUCAACUUGCUUCUCCCCCUAUGUGCGGACAGGCGUCUCCGGGUCAAAAGGUUGUAAAUAUUGACGUAGGCGAUGGCAGGAAGAUGCAAUGAAAAUGGAUCGGUAUGUGAUCUACCAAAUGGGGGCAAAACAAGACAUCCGUCAGAUGGAUGGAUUUGGAAUAACAACACAAUAAAAAAAUACCAUGUCCCCACUGUGAAAAAGUCCUGGAACGACAGCCGAGUGGACUGUCAGCAGAGGGGAGGAGACCUGUUGAAAAUCAACAACAACACAGUGAAUUCUGAUUUUCAGGGGAUCAAUUUGACGAACAUCGAUCAAUUCUGGGUCCGGACAGGUGUCAAGUCUGAAAAUGGCUGUGCUAAAUGUGAUUUAGAUUAUGAUGUAUGUCUAAAAAAUAAUCUUACAGUUGCGGAAUGUACUAAAACAAUCAAAGGGUACGUAUGUGAAAUUGACAUUUGAAUUUCUCAAGAAUGGUACCCUACAUGUAUAGUGCUGCUGAUCUUUUGCCUGAUUUCCAGGUGCUAAUGACAUUGUACAGGGUGAUAUUUAUUUUUAACAAAUUAUUUCCAAAUUGAUACUGUGUGUAUGUGAGGACUAGUCUAACGUCAAACGUCCCCUUCCAUUUAUCUACCAGUUUUUGUUUUUUUUUGCAGCUGUGUGCAAAAAACAUUCCUGUCUCUGUAGGACCCGGUUCCUCAUCCAUCUGGUACAUUGUGGUACUCUGGUCAGGAACAUGUUUUUCCAUUUAUGUUCUUUUCAGUGACCCUCUAAUUUUCCCCAUGUUUAAUCCAACGGUGCCUUAAAAACAAUUCACUAUUCAAAUGUGUUGAUAGUGUGUUACCGCACAUUUUUUACUACUCCCCUCACCCCAGAUCCAUUGACAUCAGUAUCAGAGAGUUUUAUUAACAAGUAAGUUUCACAACAAACAGGGAAUUUGUUGUGGCCUGUUAGUUUAAGAAUUUAUAAUAUAAAAUAUACAUAAGCAAUAAAAAAUAAAAACAACAGUGGACUGAGCAUAAAAACAAUAGACUGAGCAUUAAUAAAUUAUAAAAAAAUAUGUAAUGUGCAACAUUUGACCAGUUAUCAAAUUUACCAAAUAACACAGCGCCAUCCUGCACAAUGAUGUUCUUGUGACAUGGCACCCAACAUCUACGUAGUAAGAAUUAUGAAUAUGUAUAAAGCAAAAAUAUAGCAAAAAAACUAAAAUUAACAAAAUAAACCGAUUUAAUAUAACGCUGUAAAACACUCAGCAAUUGAAAAACAGUACUGUAAACUAGCAUCAGUAUGGGUGGGAGUAUUGAGUAUUAUAGGUAUGGCAGUAAUAUACAUCAUGUAAACUAGCAGCAAUUUAGAAGGACUAGGAUGAGGAAAAUGCACAAUAUGGGUAGAAGUAUUGAAAAUUAUUGAUAAAUAUGAGUGUAAUAUGCUUAUGAAUGGGA